UUGACGGUGAACUCCCAGUUGGGCUGGUGGUCCAACAGGUAGCGCUCGCCGAACUUGUCGCCGUCGGCCAGGACGCCCAGGCGGGUGGUCUCACCGUAGGGGCCCUCGGUGGUCUUGUGCACGCGGCCGUGGGCGAUCAGGUAGAGGUGGUCGGCCGGCGAGCCCUCGCGGGCGAGCACGUCGCCGGGCUCGAACUCGCGCUGGGUGAAGCGGCUGGCCAGGGCGUUCAGGACCUCCAUGUCGUCGUAGCCGCGCAGGAGGGACAGUUCGCUCAGCUCCUGGGGGAUGACGCGCACGUCGGAGCCGUUCUGGUUGAAUUCGAUCCUGCCGUCGCCCACGGUAUAGGUGAGUCGCCGGUUGACCCGGUACACGCCGCCGUCGGUCUGCACCCACGGAAGCGUCCUUUGCACCCAGCGGGAACUGAUCCCCUGCAUCUGGGGCGCGGACUUGGUCGUGGUCGCCAGGUUCCGCGCCGCCGCGGUGGCCAGGCUCUGCUGCUCGUCGG
rnacentral:antisense_RNA from 1 species